rnacentral:rRNA from 4 species
CCUGGCGGCGAUAGCGCGGUGGUCCCACCUGACCCCAUGCCGAACUCAGAAGUGAAACGCCGUAGCGCCGAUGGUAGUGUGGGGUCUCCCCAUGUGAGAGUAGGG